GGUUCGAUUAUGGCUCAGAUUGAACCUGGCGGGGUACUUCACGCCUGCAAGUCGAACGGCAGCACGGACUUCGGUCUGGUGGCGAGUGGCGAACAGGUGAGUAAUGUAUCGGAACGUGCCUAGUAGCGGGGGAUAACUACGCGAAAGCGUAGCUAGCCGCAUACGCCCUUCGGGGAAAGCGAGGGGACCUUCGGGCCUCGCACUAUUAGAGCAGCCGAUAUCGGAUUAGCUAGUUGGUGGGGUAACGGCUCACCAAGGCGACGAUCCGUAGCUGGUUUGAGGACCAGCCACACUGGGACUGAGACACAGCCCAGACUCCUACGGGAGGGCAGCAGUGGGGAAUUUUGGACAAUGGGGGAAACCUGAUCCCAGCCAUCCCGCGUGUGCGAUGAAGGCCUUCGGGUUGUAAAGCACUUUUGGCAGGAAAAAAACGGCACGGGAUAAUACCCCGUGCAACUGACAGUACCUGCAGAAUAAGCACCGGCUAACUACGUGCCAGCAGCCGCGGUAAUACGUAGGGUGCAAGCGUUAAUCGGAAUUACUGGGCGUAAAGCGUGCGCAGGCGGUUCGGAAAGAAAGAUGUGAAAUCCCGAAACUUAACUUUGGAACUGCAUUUUUAACUACCGAGCUAGAGUGUGUCUCAGAGGUGGAAUUCCCACGCGUGUAGCAGUGAAAUGCGUAGAUAUGCGGAGGAACACCGAUGGCGAAGGCAGCCUCCUGGGAUAACACUGACGCUCAUGCACGAAAAGCGUGGGAGCAAGAAGCGGGAUUAGAUACCCUGGUGAUCCACGCCCUAAACGAUGUCAACUAGCUGUUGGGGCCUUCGGGCCUUGGUAGCGCAGCUAACGCGUGAAGUUGACCGCCUGGGAAUGCAGUCGCAGAUUAAAACUCAAAGGAAUUGACGGGGACCCGCACAAGCGGUGGAUGAUGUGGAUUAAUUCGGUGGCGAAAGACUAUACCUACCCUUGACAUGUCACCGGAAUCCCGAAGAAGUUUAGGGUGCUCGCAAAGGAGAACCGGAACACAGGUGCUGCAUGGCUGUCGUCAGCUCGUGUCGUGGAUGUUGGGUUAAGUCCGCAACGAAGCAACCCUUGUCAUUAGAUUUAUACGAAGGGCACUCUAAUGAGACUGCCGGUGACAAACCGGAGGAAGGUGGGGGAUGACGUCAAGUCCUCAUGGCCCUUAUGGGUGGGCUUCACACGUCAUACAAUGGUCAGGACAGGAAGGUCGCCAACCCGCGAAGGGGAGCCAAUCCCAGAAACCCGAUCGUAGUCCGGAUCGCAGUCUGCAACUCAGCUGUGAGUCGGAAUCGCUAGUAAUCGCGGAUCAGCAUGUCGCGGUGAAUACGUUCCCGGGUCUUGUACACACCGCGCGUCACACCAUGGGAGUGGGUUUUACCAGAAGUAGUUAGCCUAACCGUAAGGAGGGCGAUUACCACGGUAGGAUUCAUGACUGGGAGGUGAAGUCAUCGGCUAAAGGUAA
rnacentral:rRNA from 1 species